GCAAGUCGGACGGCAGCACAGAGAAGCUUGCUUCUUGGGUGGCGAGUGGCGAACGGGUGAGUAACAUAUCGGAACGUACCGAGCAGUGGGGGAUAACUAAUCGAAAGAUUAGCUAAUACCUCAUAUAUUCUGAUGAAGAAAGCUGGGGAUCAUUUGGCCUUGCGCUGUUUGAGCGGCCGAUAUCUGAUUAGCUAGUAGGUGGGGUAAAGGCCUACCAAGGCGACGAUCAGUAGCGGGUCUGAGAGGAUGAUC
rnacentral:rRNA from 1 species